rnacentral:rRNA from 1 species
AACGAACGCUGGCGGCAUGCCUAACACAUGCAAGUCGAACGAGACCUUCGGGUCUAGUGGCGCACGGGUGCGUAACGCGUGGGAAUCUACCCUUGGGUUCGGAGUAACAGUUAGAAAUGACUGCUAAUACCGGAUGAUGACGUAAGUCCAAAGAUUUAUCGCCCAAGGAUGAGCCCGCGUAAGAUUAGCUUGUUGGUGGGGUAAUGGCCUACCAAGGCGACGAUCUUUAGCUGGUCUGAGAGGAUGAUCAGCCAUACUGGGACUGAGACACGGCCCAGACUCCUACGGGAGGCAGCAGUGGGGAAUAUUGGACAAUGGGCGAAAGCCUGAUCCAGCAAUGCCGCGUGAGUGAUGAAGGCCUUAGGGUUGUAAAGCUCUUUUACCAGGGAUGAUAAUGACAGUACCUGGAGAAUAAGCUCCGGCUAACUCCGUGCCAGCCGCCGCGGUAA